UACAGAGGUCUCAAGCGUUGUUCGGAUUCAUUGGGCGUAAAGGGUGCGUAGGUGGCAUGGUAAGUCGGAUGUGAAAUCCCGGGGCUCAACCCCGGAACUGCAUUCGAUACUGCUGCGCUAGAGUACUGGAGAGGAGAUUGGAAUUUACGGUGUAGCAGUGAAAUGCGUAGAUAUCGUAAGGAAGACCAGUGGCGAAGGCGGGAUCUCUGGACAGUUACUGACACUGAGGCACGAAGGCCAGGGGGAGCAAACCGGGG
rnacentral:rRNA from 1 species